AGAACGAACGCUGGCGGCAGGCCUAACACAUGCAAGUCGAACGAGAAGCCACCUUCGGGUGGUGGAAAGUGGCAGACGGGUGAGUAACGCGUGGGAACGUGCCUUUCGGUUCGGGAUAACCCAGGGAAACUUGGGCUAAUACCGGAUACGCCCUUCGGGGGAAAGAUUCAUCGCCGAAAGAUCGGCCCGCGUCGGAUUAGCUAGUUGGUGGGGUAAAAGCCUACCAAGGCGACGAUCCGUAGCUGGUCUGAGAGGAUGAUCAGCCACACUGGGACUGAGACACGGCCCAGACUCCGUACGGGAGGCAGCA
rnacentral:rRNA from 1 species